rnacentral:lncRNA from 1 species
UGCUUGUAAUCAUCUAUUCUGCGGCUGAGAGAAUAUCGGCCAUGGCCCGCAACCAGACAACCAACCUGUUUCCAAACAUGAAUAUUUUAAAAUAUUAGACUUUUGUUCUGGUAACUUGGAAAUUCAAAAGGAAUUUCCGUAUUGAAGGAUGACAUUAUGUAAUAUUUUAAACUCGAAAUUUCUUCACACCAUUAAGGUUUUUCAAUUUUGAAAGUCAAUGUUCCUCCAACAAUAAAACAAGAAAAACAUCUCAUUCUUGAUGGGGACAGAUAGGGACAGGUUUUUACACUAACUUGAGCAGUGGGGAACAGGAAAAGAUUGCUCUCUGCAAAUGGUGUGAUUUCACUGAGGAACACAACAGAUCCUUUCUCUCUGUGUAAAUCAGCCAACCUAUUCUGUGAUCACCAUUACAACAGAAUUUGUGUAUGCAAAUUCCCGGCUGGGCCUUCUCCUGUCAUCCUCCCAGCGGCUCCCCCGCCCUGCUCACGCUACUGAGACACUGGCACCUUACCUCAGACCAGAGCCCAGCACUAAACCUCUGGUUCCACUGCACAGGAUCUCAGUUCUUUCUUACAUCCUGAAGUUUUGUGCCCAGUAACACAGGGGACGAGGUAUAAGCUUCAUCCAAAACAGUGUUGUGAAAAUGUUUUGACUACAACUUUCAGUAAGAAAUGAAUUUACGCUAUGAUCCGGUAUACACCUGUGCACACAUGUGCUGCACACACGUAAACAAGUUACACAAAACAUUUUCCUUAGCUAUGUAUGGUACAUUGUGAUCAUUUUUCUCUUACACCAUUUCAUUUUUUUAAAUGCUGGUUUUCCGCACUAGAUCAAUGUCACAAUCCACUAAUGGGUCCUGACCUGGAGUUUGAAACACAUGAAUAUGCAAUGCUCUCCCAUUAUGAGACAUGUCCUAGUCCCUAAGCUAAUCUACUUGGAACUGUAAAAUUCUAAGAAACAGAAAUAGAUAUUUCAGUAGAAAUAAUAAAAAAGAUUUCUUUUCACUGGCACAUACAAAAUGUGAAGUUGAAAAUCAUUCUGAAAUUAGCCAGG